CAAAGAUCUUGCUAAAUUGCAACAUAAGAAAAUUUAUUUUUGAAAAAGUAAAGUAAUUAGAUAAAAUAAAAGACUAUAAUUUACAAGAUAAAUAAGAUAUUAUCAGCACAUGUUCAGCCCUACGAAGGCAAGGUGGCAAAGUGAACCGCGGAACAGAUGAAUGGAAUUCUUCUCGACUUGUGAGAGUCGGAUCCUUAUUCGAAAAUUGGGAAAAUAAAAUAAGAGACUAAAUAAUAUUAUAUUAAAAUUAAAUAAUAUUUAAACCUAAAAUAUAAAUACCACGGCGAACCCAUCAAACUUCAUCUCCUUCCGUUUUCUUUUCGUGUUCUACUUUUUUCCCGCCAAAGUUCAUGACCUCGAUCGGGGAUUCCUAAUCUCAAGAGAUUCAGUAUGCAAUUUGAAUUCCACAGUUUUCUUGCGAUCUUCCUCUUCGUUGCAUUUCAUUUCCAAUGUUUAUCUUGCUGCGAUCGAAAUUGCUCGAGAAAGUCCAUCGUCGCGUCGCGGCCAAUCGCGCCAAAUAACAUUUAUCGGAAACCCUAGCUCCUAGAGAUUUUGCAUGCAUUUUUUCUCUAAUGCCUCGCUUUUGCUGCAUGGAGCUUGGAGUUCUAGUCUUUCUUCUUACCAUGGAGGCCUCUGCAGCAGAGGAUCUCGAAGGUCCUGAGUCAUGGGAGGUCGCUGACAUGGUUGAGGCCAUGAGACGAAUGGCGUUGCGCUCCCUGCUUAUUCUUCAUCUUCAUUUUCUCUUGACAAUGAAUCCGAGGAUUCUACCAGGCUUUUCAGAGUCAUCGCGAGCGAUUCUCGAAUAUUCCUGUAAGUUUAUCAUCAGAACAAAACAGAAUCACAAAGGUUGCUAUCAAACAGAGAUCACAGAGAGUAUCAGAACUCAGAAGUAACUGGCGAUGCAAGUGCACACUCAACAAAAAUCAAAUAGUUUCAAGAGAGUGGAAGAUAGGAAAGAAGAAUUCAAUAAGGUCCAUGAUCGGAUAUUUAAAUUGGCCAGUAACUCGGAUACUAAUGCUAGUGGGAAAAUAGAUGCUGGUUAAAGGCCAUGGGAUAAUGAUUGUAGUGCUUUAGGCAUUUCAAAGGGUUGAAGAGAAGAUGAUUUCUGGAGUUUCUGAUAUAAAUUCUAGCAGGGGUUUGAUUGAAUAUUCAACUAGUAGUAGAGCGGGAAUGAAAAGGAACUGCUUGGUAGACACAAACCAAAUAGUAGGGUAGCUAUUCUUACGGAUCGUGAGGUUGAUUGCAAAGAUCUUGAUUAUGGCAUGAGCUGUGUAAGGAAUUACCACAACUUGGAUCUGUCCCGUCUUCUGGAUCUCAUCCUCCGGAGACAGGUUAAAGUACAAGUCUACAGUCGCUCAAUGGAUGGCGAAGCAUGUAAGGCCGUGCUACGGAUCUUUUUCAGCAUUGGCAUGGUAAGAUGCGCAGUUCUUCCCUAUCCUAUUUUGUUAAAAAAAAAAAAAAUACCUUUACAUAUUUUCCUUUCCUUUACGGAUCUUAACAAAUAUUUAAUGAGAUUGCAAAGUUCCCGAGUCAAUACGUUUAUUUUCUAAAAAUACAAGUUAGAAUGCCAAGAAGUGUGAAGUUUUGAAAAACUUAAACACGUGUUGAAGCCUAUUUUUAAAAAUCUUACCUACAAUUUGAAAAAUAUA